rnacentral:tmRNA from 1 species
GGGGUUGUAUGGUUUUGACAGCUCGUGUGUGGGGACGUAAGCAUGUCGGACGUUGUGAGCAGGUUCCGCAAUAACUAACUCUCAUGCCUAAUAAACGGCGAAAAUACAAAUUUUGCUCUGGCGGCUUAAACAAGGUUUAAGCGCGGGCUGUCUGCCCAAAAGCCUAUCUCUGUGGCGUUUGGAUGCAGGCAUCGAAAAGACGGAGAUAGUUUUAAUAUGCCUUGAUAUUGAAACGAAAAUCUAAAAGGAUAAGUUCUUGUUUUUUGCAUAGCCUUUUGCACGACAAGAAACGAAAAUCUAACAAAGGAUAAACAUGUAGAAAGCGUUUUUGCAGCGCGUUUGGACGAGGGUUCGACUCCCUCCAACUCCACAA